rnacentral:rRNA from 1 species
UACGAGUGCCCCAAGCGUUAUCCGGAAUUAUUGGGCGUAAAGGGUGAGUAGGCGGUUUGAGUUAGUCUCCUGCUAAAGUCUUCGGCUUAACCGGGGCACUGCGGGGGAAACGGCUCAACUAGAGAGGGUGAGAGGUCUAGGGAACUCAUGGUGUAGGGGUGAAAUCCGUUGAUAUCAUGGGGAACACCAAAGGCGAAGGCACUAGACUGGCGCCUGUCUGACGCUGAAUCACGAAAGCGUGGGGAUCAAACGGG